rnacentral:rRNA from 1 species
GUUUGAUCCCUGGCUCAGAUUGAACGCUGGCGGCAGGCCUAACACAUGCAAGUCGAACGGUAACAGGAAGCAGCUUGCUGCUUCGCUGACGAGUGGCGGACGGGUGAGUAAUGUCUGGGAAACUGCCUGAUGGAGGGGGAUAACUACUGGAAACGGUAGCUAAUACCGCAUAACGUCGCAAGACCAAAGAGGGGGACCUUCGGGCCUCUUGCCAUCGGAUGUGCCCAGAUGGGAUUAGCUAGUAGGUGGGGUAACGGCUCACCUAGGCGACGAUCCCUAGCUGGUCUGAG